rnacentral:rRNA from 1 species
UACGUAGGGUGCAAGCGUUAAUCGGAAUUACUGGGCGUAAAGCGUGCGCAGGCGGUUCGCUAAGACAGAUGUGAAAAUCCCCGGGCUUAACCUGGGAACUGCAUUUGUGACUUGGCGGGCUAGAGUAUGGCAGAGGGGGGUAGAAUUCCACGUGUAGCAGUGAAAUGCGUAGAGAUGUGGAGGAAUACCGAUGGCGAAGGCAGCCCCCUGGGUCAAUACUGACGCUCAUGCACGAAAGCGUGGGGGAGCAAAACAGGG